rnacentral:lncRNA from 1 species
AGUUAGGGCCAAGGUGAAACUGCAGUAUCACAAGGAUUUUCUGGUGGAUGAGGAUGGCAAGUGGAUACUGCAGGGCUGGAAGGGGCGAGUUAUCUAUGCACUCUCAUAUUGGAAGCCAGCUCACGAGUAAUGAGGAAUCCUUCCUGUUUAUCACAUAAGCAUGAAUGCUGGUUAAAAUGUUUGGCAAUUGAUAAAUAAAUACCUCCUUAGCAAUCUACAUGUAUUCUAUAAAAUUAUGCAAGGAAUUGGUAUGUCUAAGUUUUACUGUUCAAAUUUAUUCAGUGCCACAGAAAAUUGGUAUUAACCUGUGAAUAAAUCAAGGUGAAAUCCAGGACUAAUAGUCUGUGUGAAUAUCACAUUAGAAAUUCUUAUACUCUUGUGUCAAUAUCACAUCAUGAACAAUGUAUUUUCUCCAUAUAGCCAUUGUUGCAAUAUCCAUCAUCAUAUGAAAGAUGUUUGGAAGAAAGGCAGCCAUCUGAAUUCAACUGGCUUACAGCUAAUGUUUUCAACUUGCACCUGUAAUUACCACGGUGUUUCCUUUACAUUGUGGAGUUUUAAAUUACAAAUUUAUUUUAAUGGGGACUAGAUUAUGGUUUUCCAAUUUUAGUCUGAUAAAGUUUAUUAAGUCCAUGCAGGUUUAGGGCUGGAUGGCAGUAUCGCUGUGUGCCAUUUCAGGAUGAAGCCUUGUUAAUUGCGUCCAUUUUUUUUUUCAAUAAGCUGACCUUUCCUCUUGCAAUUUUGUUGAAGCUGUGAAUGAUUACUUCCUGCUGUUUGCCUCCAGCCUGUAGAUGUUUUCUUGAAGUUCAGACUAGCACACCAGAACGCCUAAGCAUUGAGAGCAAGUACUUUGCUGCUGCUCAAAUAAACAUUUCUUGCUAAUGUUUUUUAAGAACCGGAACAAAUAUAAGAACUUCUGAAGAUUGAUUUGACUUACUUUUUCUUGCUAGUAUUUCCAUUGCUCUCUCUCUCUCUCUCUUUGCCCCUUACAUUCCUGUUUCACAAACCGUCUUCAAGGUAUUAAGUUAACAGAGAGGAUUCUGUAAUCAGGCUGGGAACUCGCUGCCUUCUCGGGAAAGACACUUGAGUGAUGAUCGGAGGACUUGGAAUGAUAUCAUUUCAUAUGGACAAGGGGCACGGACGGUUGCAGGUGCAACUGUCUCGGACGGUUUUGGCCAUUUUUAACUGCGCGUAACUUUCUUUGCACAUCGCGUAACUUUUUUUGCACAUCGCGUAAUUUUAGAGCAAAUUUUUGUGAAACUCACACAUGGCGUGAAAAUCGAGUUAUAACUUGUAAUCUCAACCGCACAAAUUUUUGAGACCAGAUCAUGGCCAUUAGCCGUUCAGGGACGGUCUUACUGAUGACCGUCCCUGCCCCAUUUCCCAUUUGAUAUAUACUAGCUAGGUAUUUCCUAGUCUUCUAGAUUCAUGAAGUGCUAGUGUUGUUAGUGGUUUUCUGUGGCUUUAGUCAUCUAAACGUAGGGCCAUUCUGUCUAAUCAUGACACUGCCAGGACACUCAGUUCAUAUGAAACAAAAACAGAAACUACUAACAGAUGAGCUUUUGUUGAUGCAUCUGUUAAUAGUUUGCUGCAAACUGAUUUGUCAAUUGAUCAUAAUCGUCGUUUCAUGAAUUGCAGAGAGGCGGAUUGGUGUCUAUGUUGUUCUACAGUGUUCUCAUUAGAAAACAUAAAUACAUGCGCCAAAGUCAAUUUGGAACUGUCGGGCUCAGAUUUGCUGUUGUUUUGUAUGAAUUCAUCCAUUAAAGAACAAAAGGACAAAUUUCACAGCUCAGAAACCUUGACGGCUGGGAUUUCAAGUCAAAGACUCUUCAGUCAGAGGAGCAGAUAUGAGUUUGUUCAUUGAAUUCUCUUCAUACAGAGAUUUUCUUCACUGACGUGAGAAUUGUUCAUUAUUGUAAAUUUGACUUUUUACCUUCAACAUUUUGAGUUUGUCAUUGCUUGCCUCUCUAGUCAGAGCAGCAGACAUGAGUUUGUUCAUUGAAUUCUCUUCAAAUUUUAGAUUUUCUUCUGUGACGUGAGAAUUGUUCAUGUUUGUAAAUCUGACUUUUUAACUUCAAGAUUUUGAGUUUAUCAUUGCUUGCUUUUUUAAUUCAAGAAACUUAAAUCUUAGUACUCUUUUCUUAGAAGGCUAAACGUACUUCAAUCAUCCAGUCCUUGUAUAGGACAAUCCUUAGAACAAGCUUCAACUUUGACAGUAACAAAUUCAGGAAGAUUGAUGCCUUACUGUAACCAAAACAUAAAAUCCAGUAAGCUCAAUUGUCACCUGGAGGAUAUCAGAGACCUUAGCUCAAUGUUUAGGAAAUGCUCAUUUGAUAGUUUACCUGUUGAAGUGAAUAGGCUCAUUGAAAAACUGAGCAAGCUAGCUAUGCGGAUGCUUUAAUGAGGACCUUUAGGUUCCUCUGUGGCUUAGUCCACUUUUGUAAAGCCUAUGCUUGAGCCUUGCUCAUAUAAUGUGUAUGUUCUCAUUAAUUUUAUGAAUAAAAUCGUUAUCGUUUCUGGAAAAAAAAAAAAAAAAUUUGUCACAUGUGCAUCAGUCACCAUAAUACGUACUAAUAUAAUAAAUGUACAUGCCAGCACAACAAAUAUAGACAGUAGAGGAAAUUAUCGGGUAGUCACUAAACUUUUUCAAUAGUCAAGAUUUGGCUACUCAAUUAUUAGUAGCAUGUUUUUACCCAUUAAACUAUCAAAAGUGUAAAUUUUGAGCCAUUUUGUCUGAUUUCACCGUUAACUCUGUUAGAUAUAAGGGUCUACAUAAUUUAUGAGAUAUACUAUUAAUGGUUAAAUUUGGUAGUGUUAACGGUAAAAUCAGAUGGAAUGAUCCAAAAUUUAUACUUUUAAUAGUUUAGUGAGUAAAAACAUACUAUUAAUAGUUGAAUGGCUAAAACUCAACUAGUUGAAAAGUUUAAUAGCUAUUGGGAUAAUUUGCUCUAGAUAGUAAUGUACGAAAAAUACAACAAAAUUUGUCGCAAAAUCAAUGUUUCAAAUUAGAUACACCUAGACAUGAGCUGCAUGAUAUCUAUUGCUUUGACAAUUACAAAAUUACUCAAUGCAGUCUGGAGCAGCAAAAGAUCUUGGGUUGUAUCUUGUGAAAUUCAUGUAAUUUACUCAUAUAAAUAUGUUUUUGAAUGCGAUUGGGUUGCUAUCCUUAACUAAAAUAAGUAUGCUAGAAGAUAAAACAUUUUUUUUUUUUGUAUAUCCAUAUUGCCUAUUUUAAGUUCAAAAAUAAAUUUUGUUUUCCCUCUUCUAGAAAAUCAGUUUACAUGUGUUUUUCAGAGGAACUCAUUUUUUCUAUUCGGCAAACCCCAUAAAGGGAUGGAUACUAGCCCAGAUUUUAUUAAUUAUUGAAAUGAAAUAUUAUAUGGACUGGUGGAACGGUUUGUAGACCAAAUCUCUAAAAAUAACUAAUGAACAUAAUGGCACGAAGGAAAUAAGGAGUACUACUCCCCUCAUCAUUUUCUUUUUAAUCGUAGAAGUAGAAAGAACAAAAAAAAAAAAAAAACCUUUUUGCCAUCCUCAAAAACAUUUAAUUUUUUUUCAAAAAUCAAGAAAAGCUGAUAGUUUGUUCGUGCAUCAAGCUAUUUACUAUUAAGGAAUUAAUGUUAGACUAAAAUCCAUGAGCUAUCAAAACAGUUUCAAGGAUUUGAAUAUUUUUUCCAACCAUCUUGAAUCCUUCUUAAAUGGAGGUGAAAGAUGAUUUGGGAUUCGGGCUCUGACCUCCAGAUGCACAAGUAAUCUUGAUAGUUACGAUUGAACCACAUUAACUUGGUCUAAUCUGGCCUGUUUAUUUCAAGCUUUUUGAAGUUUGUAACGAGUACAUUUUACUUUAGACCUUUCAACUAUAAAUGAGCUCCCAUUGCAAUCCUUAAACUUUAACUUUAAACAUUUUAUCUCCUAAAAUAUGAAAUCUAUCCACUUUAGUUCUUAAACUUCAAUUUUGGACACUUUAAUCCCUAAAGUAUGAAAUCUAUUUCACUUUAAUCCUGAAACUUUUAGUCACUUGCCUAUUGCUUAGUUAGUUUUGACAAUUUUGUGGGAUAGAUUUUUUGCUUUAUAGGAUAAAAUGUCCAAAAUGAAAGUACUAAAGUAGGAUGGAUUUCAUAUCUUAGGGGGAAAAGUGUCCAAUAUUAAAAUUUAAGGACUGAAAUGAGAGUGUGUUUAUAGUUUAAGUGUCUAAAAUAGAAUUUAGCCUUUUGUAAUUAACAAAUCAAAGAGAAUAGAGGCCUGUCCAGUUAAUUUUGUCCAAUUCUGUCCAAUUAUUGUAAUUCGUAAAACUUUUGCAUAAAUUCAUACAACUAUGAUACAUUCCGGGAUUAGUCGUAUGAGUUCACCAAAUACUGUAAGAUUUACACAAUUAGAUAGACUGGAUAAAAAAGUACAACGGAAGAGGUUCCACAUCCUGAAUAAGAGGUAAAAAGGACUACCCUACCAGGCGGGCCUCUACGAAAUUGGAAACCAGGUGGCUGUAAGCCUAUUCACUUUCUAGAAAGAAAGACAGGGUAUUCUGUACACGGUAAUCUAAGGAAAAAAAAAAACUGUGGUUUGUUAAGCAUAUCUGUUGGUUUCAGUGUCUCCAAUUUCUUUGGGAUCCGUAGCCAUUUCCUGUACUCGCCACCUUUUGACUUCUUUCAAUGGUGCAUUACUGCAAGAAAUUCAAUGUUCCAUUUGAGGCCAUAGCAAAGAAAUGGGAAACCAUCCUAUGGAGGAUCUGAAGAUUGACAGAAGCGAAACAAUUAUAGUUAAUUGCUUGUGUAGGCUAAGACAUGUUCCCGACGAGACAACAGAAGACAGCAGUGCGACGGACGAUGUUCUGACGUUGAUCAUGAAAAUGAAUCCUAUUUUUUUGUCCAUGGAGUCAUUAGUGGGACAUAGAAAGCCCCAUUUUUCAUCACCCGCUUCCAAAAAGCGCUGCAUCUUUUCUCUUCUUUGUUUGACAUGUUUAAGAAAACUUUAGCACAUAUUGAUCAGGACAGAAUGAUGUUUAAGAAAGAAGUUCUUCGAAGGGAUCCCAUGAAUGUCGUAGCAUGUGAAGUAGGAGUGACAAUUUCUUACACAACAUAAAUCUAAUACGAAAUUAAUGGGGUUUAGAUUGAAUCUUGUAGAUUCGAAUCGAAAUUGGAUCAGAUCCGUUAGACUCGAAAAAAUCAGGUUGAGUCAAGGUCAAUCGCGGGAUGAUCUGGUUAAUCUAUUUAUGAAUUAAAAAUAAUUUAAUAAAUAUAAAAUAUUUUAUCUAACUUAUUAACUAUUUUCUAUUUUUCUUGAACAAAUCCUGAAAUAUCCUUAUACCAUUAACCUCAAUUCGAUCGUUUUCACUUUUCAUUUUUCACAACUUUACUCUUUGUCUUCCGCACUUCACCUCUCACUGCUCACUAGCAGAGCCGGUCGGCAAGGCAGGACGUCGAAACCCCUGAGCAAGGCUGACUAUUCUAAUCCUUCUCCGAGCUUAACUUUUGCCUUCUGAUUUCUAAACUUGUGUUGUGUGGCUUCUCUUUGAAGUCUAAACGACUGGCGAUGGGCCCUUCUACUCUCUCUUAAGUGUCAAACAUUGAUGGACUCCAGAAGAAUUCGGAUUUCAGAUCGAUUAUCGAAGAAGCUUAAAUAUUUAUGUGCUUUUCAUCUUUUUUUUUUUCUUUUCAGUGAUGUAGGAGUCGAUGAAGUCAUAGCAGGCAUAUUUAUAUUGUAAUGGCUUAAGCUAAACAUUCUUGAUUUCCUUCACCUCAUGCAUUGUUUUGAAAAUCACAUAAAAUUGGACUGAAAAUUUUUCUUGUUUUGAUCUUUUGCUAGAGAUUUUGAAGAGGUUUUUUGGAAUCAUAAAUAACAAAAGACUCCGGACUAUGUCCCAUAAUUCAUGAUUGUUUAUAAACAUACAAUGUGAUUCAAUAUUUACCUUCUUAAUUUGUUGGGCUAUACACAGCCUUGUUUGAUUAAGAUUUGUAAAGAUGGAUCUGCUACUGAAGUCAAUAGUUACUUAGAGAAUCAAAUGAUGCCAUUAUCUCAUUGUUUAGUGGUUGUCUAACAACCCAAAGUGAGUAGUCUGAUUAUUGUGGUUGCAAGCAUUAUUCAUAGGCUAUUAAGCUGUCAAAUUAUUUGUGAAUGCACCAUCUUUCAAAAUUUUUGUUUGUAUUAAGAGAAAAUUAACUUGAAUUGACAAUGACAUGUAUGUCUAUUUAUUGGUUAACAGAUGAAUGAAAGUAAUCCAAAUGCAAAUCCAAUUGAGGUUGAUGAUGAUAGUGGUAGUGACAAUAGCAUUGAAGAGACAAUGGAAAUGAAUCAAUCUCAAUGUCCUGACCCUGCUUUCAAAGGGAACAAAAAAGAGGAAGCUAACUUCUGAAGUUUGGGAUUACUUUACCAUCUUGGCUCCAAAACCGACUGAGGAAUUGAAGUGCAAAUGCAAAAAAUGUAAGCACAUCUAUUCUGCAGAGAGUAAAAAUGGGACAAGUAACCUUCUUCGACAAAUAAAAAAAUGUCAGAAAAUGACAACUAAAGAUAUUGGUCAAUAUCUUCUUUCUCCUGAUCAAGGAGCUUUGGCCACAAGCAAUUCCAGUUUAGUCAGGAGAAAUUUAAAGAUUUAAUGAUGCAUGCAAUCAUCAGAUACGAGUUGCCAUUUUCAUUUGUUAAAUAUGAGGGAAUUAGAAAUGUUUGUUCAUAGUUGGAACCACAAGUUAAACAUGUUACUAGGAACAUUGCGAAGGCAGAUAUAAAAAAAUUUCAUGCUAAAGAAAUUGAUAGGCUUGGGGCUAAAUUAUAGUUAUGUCCUAGUUGAAUUUCUUUGAUUUCUAAUGCAUGAAGCUCCAGUUAUUGAUGGGUACUUGAGUUUGAUAGCACACUUUGUUGAUAAUAAUUGGGUGCUGCAAACCAAAAAAAUCUGAUUUUUUCUUACGAGCUUUCUCCUCAUAGUGGAGUUGCUCUAGUAGAAAAAAUUUAUAGUUUGGUUAGUGAUUGAGGCAUUGAAAAGAAAUUGUUCACCAUCACUUUGGAUAAUGCUUUUGCAAAUGAUUCUUGUGUACAAAUACUUAAGAAUCAGUUUAGGUUGAAAGGUGCUUUGAUGCAUGAUGGCAUUUUAUUUCAUGUGAGGUGUUGUGUUCAUAGUCUAAAUCUGAUUGUGCAAGAUGGUUUGAAAGAAAUUGAUGUCCCAGUAGAUAGAAUAAUGGAAUGUGUAAAAUAUGUGAAGAGCUCUCAAGUGAGAAAAGUAAAGUCUACUAAAUGUGUAGUACAAACAUCCCUUGAUUCUAAAAAAGACUCAGUUCAGAAUGUCCAACUACAUUGGAGUUCCACUCAUAAGAUAUUCUCAAGUGGUCUUUAUUAUUAUCUUGCCUUUUGUCACUUGCAAUUAAGUGAUUCCAAUUUUCGAUGUUGUCCAUCUUUAGAACAGUGGGAAAGAGUUGAAAAGAUUUGCAGUUUUUUAGAAAUUUUUUAUGAUGCAACCAUUGCCUUCUCAAGAUCUGAGUACCCAACUGCUAACUUAUACUUUCCACAAGUUUUUCUGAUUCAAUUAAAGUUGUUUGAGGACUGUAGGAGUUCUGAUGGUUUUAUGAAGAAAAUUGCAGAAUAGAUGGUUGUGAAAUUCAAAAAAUAUUGGUCUGAGUUCAAUAUUGUGAGAUUUGAUCCUAGAUACAAAUUUCAGCUUCCUGAGUUUAGCUAUCAAAAGUUAUAUGGUCAGGGAUACACUUUUUAGUCUUUUCAAUGAAUAUGUUAGAGCUUGUAAGACAUUUCAGCCAUCAUCUUCCCAUUAUUGGGGUAGCAAUGAGAUGAAUGAGAUAUUCUUUGAUGUAGCAGAAGCACAAGAAAAAAAAAUUAGUGAAUGUUUUCAAGGUGUGAUGAUAAUAUUUUUUAGUAUUAUUGAUUUAUUAGUUUAUAUACUCCCAUCUAGUUUUAAAAAUGUUAUGUUCUCAUUUUCAUGUCUGUUAUAUCUCUCUUUCAAUGUCAUGAUCAUAGGAAGUUGAUGAAUUUGAUAGUUUUGAAUUUACCAUUGGUGCACAAAAAACUCAAUUGGAAUGUAUCUAGAUGAGACAAGAAGUAAAAGAAAAUCUAAGAUUCAUGUUCUUGACUAUUGGAAGGUUCGACAGUAUCAAUUUCCAGAUCUAGCAAAAUUAGCUGGAGAUAUCUUAUGUGUUCUUGUAUCAACCGUUGUAUCAGAAUCUGCUUUUAGCCUUGGUGGUAGGAAUCUAGAUCAAUUCCUAGUUCAUUGUCACCACUAAUAGUUGAAGCUUUAGUAUGCACUAAAGACUGGUUGUUUGGGGACAAAGGUAUAAUUAGUAAAUUAAUGUUUCCUAAUAUCCACUUUGUUUCUUUAGUAUUUUAUACUUAUUUUAUUUUUCUCAUCUUAUUUAUGUAGAGAUGACAGAUUUGAGGUUGGAGGAUAUAAUUCAAGACAUCAUGUCUUUAAAGAUAUUAAAAGAUGAUGCACAAUUUGUUGGAAAUUUAAACUCUAAUGUGGUCAACCUCUAAGUCAUUGAGCUGGUGAGUUAAAGUUAUAGCAUAAUAUGUUUUAUUGCACUUAUAUGUAACAACAUUAAUACUUUGAUAUCCGUACCUAUUGCAGGUAGCUUAAAAAGGUGCUUGCAUCCCUUGAUUUAGUGAAGGUGGAAGUUGGAAGAGGAAUAUCAAUUUGACCGCUUGAGCUUGGAACCUUGGACCAGUGAUUCUAUUUUAGUUUCAUGUCUAUUUUGUUGCUAUUUAGUGUUUAUGGCUUGUAGCAAUUGGGAUUCAAUGAUGAAGUGAUGAUAUUGCGACUUGCUAUUAUCUUAUGUCUUUUUAGUAUUUAUUAUAGUUUGUAGCCAUUUGGAUUUGAUGAUGAUAUUAGGAGUUGGGACUUGAGCUUAUCAGCAUAUGCUAUGUCUUUUUAUGGCUUGUAGUCAUUUGGAUUUGGAUUACAUUUGGUGAAUGCCUUUUGUGUAUGAUUGCUUGAAUGGAUUUUUUUAUUUCCACUGGGCAAUUGACAUUGCUGAUUAUUAUAGGUAAUUAAACUGAUUUGUAGUUCUAUGCUUCUAUUUUAGAUGAUCAACUAAUCAUUUAUAAGGCAGGUUGAAACAGGUUAGGUUCAAGUGACCAGCGAAAAUUGCGAUUUGUGUUCAGGUCAAGGGACCUGACCUGAUAAAAUAAAUGGGUUGUGUCCGGGUUGACGACUUUUCUAGAAUACCCGUGUCUUAACCUAUCCUGUCAACCCGUGACCCGACCUGAUUACCACCCCUGUGAAGGUGUUGAAAGGAUUGAAAGGCCAGAAACAUACAAGUGGUUCGUGCUGAUUUUUAGUGGCCAACAAACCAACGCCAAUGUCAUGAUUGCUGCGACCAUGGCAUUUAGUUAACACCACGAAAAUGAUAGAAAUGAAUUGAUAUCAGUAAAAGAGAGUGCUCACCGAUAUUCUAUGACUUCUAGACCAAAGUUAUUUGUUCUACCUUGAACAACCUCAAGAACUUAAAAUCUAUGACAAAGUAACCGAUCAAAGAAGAAAUGAGAAGGAAAGACUGAUUUGCAACUGAAGCUAACAAAUUGUUUAAUAUGAAAGUAACAACUGCUUGGAAUGAUACAGAGUGCAUGAGAAUUAUAUAGAUUGCUUGAGAAUAAGAAACUUGCUUGGAAUUCAAAGGAAACUGAUUCUGAAUUCAUAUCAAAUAUAAAGAAAUUUAUAGAACUUAAUAUUGAUUGAAAGCAUGAAAAUGACGAGUUGCUAGAAAAGGAAAUGUUUGUAAGAAAAUUGGAAAUCCUAAACCUAGCCUAAAAGCUUCUAAGAAAGCUUGCUAAAAGAAAGAGCAUUUUUCUAAAGAUAUUGUCUUUGAUUUGGAUGUUGUUGGAGAAGUCCUCAAUCUGGUCUCUCUUCUAAUAGUUGUAGUAUUAACGAUCACUUUGCCAUCUACUGAUAAACUCACUUCUACUUUUAACACCUUACUAUCAAGUGCAACUACCUAUCAUGUCAGCUUUAUCAGCCGAUCAUGAGUAGUGAUAACUGCCCACUCCCAUGUAUUUAGGAUAAUGUAACUGUCAUAUCCCUACUUUGUAAGGCCAGAAUCUAAUCCUCAUAUCUUUCUUCGCCAACCACUGUCAUUGACUCUAUCUCGCAUCGACACUUGAUCAAUCUCUCAUGACCUGGUCAAACUUUCAAAAAGGAAGGGCUAAUGUAAAGAAGAGAUUAGAUAGGGCAAUAUGUAAUGAAUGAUGGAGGAUUCACUUCCCUGAAACCUAUAUUCGCUACCUCCCACGCACCCACUUUGACCACCACCCAGUGUUGGUAACUCUAGAUAAGGGUAAUAGUGGGGGAAGGCCAAGGCAAUUUUGCAUAGAGAUGGCAUGGACUACUUAUCCUACCAUUUAGAGUAUGAUUAAGUCCGUAUGGAAAUCAGAUAAGAAGAUGUGGGAUAAUAUAUCUAACUUCCUGGAAAAAACUCAACACUAGAACAUAGAGGUUUUUGGGAACAUAUUUCAAAGGAAGAGGAGAUGUUUAGCAAGGAUUGAAGGCAUCCAAAAGUCACUGACAAUAAAACAUAACCCUUACUUGGAGAAAUUGUAGAUGGAUCAUGUUAAGGAGUAUAACCAGAUUCUGGAACAAGAAGAACUUUUGUGUUUUCAAAAAUCAAGAGUGAAUUGGCUGAACUAUUGUGAGAGAAAUACAUGUUACUUCCACAGCUCAAUAGUGAUAAGAAGAAGGAGAAACCAUGUGGAUUGUCGGAAGGAUGAUCAAGUGAAGUGGCAACAAGUCCAAAAAAGCACUUAAAGCCAUGGUGGUGAAAUUUUAUAAAGACUUAUAUUGUACGGAAGGGGAUACCAUGAAUGAUUUUAGUUGCUCAGUCAAAUUUCCAAGAGCUGAGGAAAGAGAUUUGAGAUGUGAUUAGACAAGUAUGCUCAGAAGAAGUUAAACAAGCCUUGUUUAGUAUCAAGGAUAUAUAAGCACCUGGCCACAACGGAAUUAGUGCCUUCAUCUUCCAAAAGGGAUUGGAGAUCGUUAUGGAGAGCCUUGUAAAAUUUGUCAAAGAUGCUUUCUUCAAAAAGGCAGUGCCAUCCCAAGUGAAUGACACCAUCAUAUCCCUUAUUCCCAAAGUUGGGAACCCAGAGAGGGUAACCCACUUUAGACCUAUUUCCCUAUGUAGCGUUUCAUAUAAGGUGAUCACUAAAAUUCUAGUCCGGAGGAUCAGGCUGCUAAUGACUCAAAUAGUUGGCUAGGAACAAUGUAGGUUCAUCGCAGGACAACAGUCCUCAGAUAAUGUGAUAAUCCUACAGGAGAUAGUCCACUCAGCUAAGAGGAAGGAGAAAACAGGAGUGAUAAUCGUCAAAGUGGAUUUAGAGAAAGCAUAUGACCGAAUAAGCUAGAAAUUCUUUCAUAACACACUAGAAAAUAUGGGUUUUUCAGAGGAGGCAAUGAAACUAAUUAUGAGUUGCAUGCAAGUAAAUAGAGCAAUCACUCCCAGAAGAGGACUUAGACAAGGAGAUCCCCUUUCACCAUAUUUAUUAUCCUGUGCAUGGAGAGGCUGAGUCACCUGAUAGCUGAAGCAGUUCACCAAGGGAAAUGGAAACUAGUGAGGGCAUCAAGAAAUGGACCAAGAAUUUUUCAUCUUAUGUUUGCUAAUGACUUGAUUCUUUUUGCUGAAGCAUCAGAGGAACAAGCAAUGGUAAUUAGGAAGGUGUUGGAGAACUUCUGUGCAAUCUCAGGCCAAAAAGUCAACAUGGCGAAAUCCAAAAUAUUUUGCUUAGGGAAUACUCCUAGAGAGUUGGCUAGGAGAAUAAGUAAAAUGACGAAAGUUUCCUUAACGACUAAUCUAGGGAAGUAAUUAGGUGUGCUAGUCUUACAUGAGCGGGGAACUCAGGCCACUUAAAUAGAGAUGCUGGAUAAAAUGCAUGCAAGGUUAGCAGGGUAGAAGAGAAAUUGUCUAGCCUAUGUAGCCAGAGUCACUCUUAUUAAGUCGGCAUUAACUGCUAUCCCAAAUUAUAUGAUGCCGACUAUUAAAUUACCAAACCUAGUGGUUGAUAAAAUAGAGAAAUGUAUCACGGGAUUCCUCUAGGAUGAUUCUGAGGAGGAUGGUAGGAAAAUGAACCAUUUGGGUUGGGAUAAAGUUGCACAGCCCAGGCUAUUUGGAGGUCUGGGAAAAUGAAGAAUUAAUGCGAAAAAUAAAGCUUCACUUGCCAAGCUAAGUUGGAGAUAUCACAGGAACAAAAAUGAAUUAUGGACAAGGGUGCUACAGUCAAAGUGUAGAAGUAGAAUAGAAGAUAUUUUAUUACUGAAGAAGGUAGGGGAGUCCCAAGUUUGGAGGGGUAUUAAAUUAGGGAGCGAAUUAGUAGCUUUAGAGGAAAAAUAGACACUAGGGAAUGGACAAAUCAUUAGUUUCUAGAUAGAUAAAUGGGUAGGAGAUAGCAAUUUGGAGGAGGAAGUUGUUGUUGAAAUACCUAAAGAGGAAAGAAAGAAAAAGGUGACGGAGUAUUGGGAGAAAGAGAGAGGAUGGAAAUUCAAUAUUAUCUCUAAAUUUCUAUUAACCGAGACUAUACUAAAGUUGUUACCUAUUAGGGUUGAUGAGAAAGGGAAUAACAUGGAUAUAGUAAGCUAGGGAGAAGAAAAUAAUGGAGAUUUCACCACGACAUCAGCAUAUGAUUAUGGAGGAAAAUGAAGACAGAAACUAGAAUAAACUAUGGAAGCUCAAGGGACCUGAAAGAUGGCAAUUCCUACUUUGGCUAGUUAGGCAUGAGAGGCUUAUCACCAAUGGCGAAAAGUAUAGAAGACACCUCUAUCCCUUUGGUAGGUGUCCAAUUUGCGAAAUCAGCAUUUGAGUCCAUAUUGCAUAUGUGACAGCUCCACCUCCCCCUAAGGCGAAUCAAAGGGUUUGGCGGACCGCCUGCCCAUCUCUCGCCGGGACUCACUCACUCUCUACAGUCCUCCAAUCAAUUACAAUACACAUAUCAAAUAAUACAUCAAAUUCUCCAUGAAUUACAUAUCACAAGCGAAGUAAAAACUAGUUCCCAAGCGUGGAACGUAUACAUACAUUCGUUCAAUUCCAAACAUUCACACAAACCCAACUAUUACACAAGAUGAAUCUAAAACUCAAACUAUACAGGAGAUAAUCCAUCCAGUCACACGGAGAACUUAAUACAAGUACUUCCUUUGUCUCGAGCCCUAUGGGGAGAAAAUAAAUAUUUUGGGUGAGCUAGAAGCUCAGCUAGUGUCCAGUAAAAUCAAUAAUCAACCAGUUUCACAAUAAUGCGUUGAAAUGAUAUCAUGAAUCAAUGAUCAAAUGUAUGUUUAUUGCUCUUGUGAGCCAGUGAAAUCACCGUACUUAGAACUCCAACGCUCAAACAGAUUCAGUAAGUCAAACAGUACAAAGGAGACAUCGGUGCUCCAGAUAAACAGUAGAGAGACGUUGGUUCUAAGUACAAGAUUUUCCAAAAACUCAAUGGAGCCAAAUCAUGUCAUGGCACACACACAAACACAAAUGAUAUGCAAUCGAGUAAACAAUGCAAGAAUUAGUUCGAAAAGUAACUUUGAAAAUAGUUGUGGAAUCACUCACCAAUCACAGCUCAUGAUCCAUCCAUCAUAGAUCAUUGCCUUGAUCAAGUCCAAACCCUAGAUUACAAAUAUCAUGUCAAGCAAAGGGAAUUCUAAAAUCAGCAAGUUCCUAUCACCUUUUGGCAUUUUAAUCACAAUUGAAGCUACACUUAUCCGAUUGAAACGAAUCUUAUGGCGUUACGAAGCUAAGACAUAUACCCACAUUUCUUAUGAAGACCUCCAAAACCAAAUUAUACAUUUUCAUGGUCAAAAAUCGAAAUCUUAGAGAAAAAUGGAAACUGUCCGUGAAACAGGGCUUAAGGGCAGUCAAGGGUAUUUCAGUCAUUUCACAUGCUACAGUACUCCAAUCCAUCUGAAAUUUUGCAGGUAGAUAGCUAACUCAAAUCUCUACAACUUUCAUGUUUUGUCCAACACCUGGUUCUGUAACGGCCCCACUUCUCCCUAGGGCGUACCCCAGGGUAUCAGCGGGCCGCCUGCCCAGCUCUCGCCGGGACUCAGUCAGUCACUAUAAGAAAAGAGAAUAAAAUCCACACAACCAUCGAAAUAACAAUAAUUCCAAACUUAAACGUCAACUUAUAUACAUUACUGUCUCAAUGGAAGUACACCUGUCAAAAUAUAGGUUCUCAUUUCCCCAUACAACUAGCCCGUGCCAAGCACUAGGGCGAGAACCUUUACAAAAGAAACCGAAGUGCUAAAACGGCUAAUCUAUUCGUAGCUUCCAUCCUCGCACGUCUUCCCCUGCUAAGGAAAACAAAACUAAAGGGAUGAGCUGGAAAGCUCAGUGAGGUUCCGUACACAUAGGCAACAAGAGAAACAAAUGCAUGUAAACAACAAUUCACGAUACAAGUACAAUAAAGCGAUAAACACAUUCAUUAAAAGGAUACGUGCUCACAAGGAGCCAUUCGUGCAUUCAUUCAUUCUCCUUCCAUUCUCCUUCCUUCAAUCAUUUGAAAAUACAUUUUGUAUAAGUAAAACCCCUCAUUCAUUCAUUCAUUUCAUUCACCCCGUCCCUGGCUUUUGGCCAGGCUCCACCAACCUACAGGGUAAUACUCGAGUAUACCGAAUCGUUCACCCAAGUUCCUAAUCGCUCGACCGAGUCCGACUGUCUCGAGACGACCGGUAACAAGGGGCUAUGGCCAGUUCAGCCCGAAGGCCUACAUUCAUGCACAAUUAACAUUUCAAUCGCUCAAUCAUUAAAAUUCACAAUCAUUUAGGCUAAGUGCGGUAAAGUACACACUCGCCUCGAAAAUCGUUUUAGCAAUCAUUGAAAGCGUUUAACAUGUUAUCAAUCAUUCAAACAAGCCAUAUAAUCAGGAAGUAUAACAAAUAAGGAACACUCACCUAUACACGCAAAAUAACGCCCACUUCUCAAUCACCACGGAAACCUAAAAGGCCACAAAGACCACAUUACAAUCCAUCUAACAUGAUUUAGAUGAAAACAACCAAAACCCGACUACUCGCGAGUAAACGUAUAAAAGGACUUUCAAAGUGUAAAGAGGGCGUUUGGAUCCGUGAAUAAGAAAGGGACUUCCAAACCAAAAGGGUUAUCAAAUCUCUAACGAAAAACAUUUAACCAUAACAAAUCAAAAUCCCAAUAGAUAGGCUAAGGAAAUAUUCUCUUGGAAUUGUAAAGAAUCAUUCGUGCAGCUACAAGCCACUAUAUAUUCAAGUAGUGGUUAUAUAAUAAGGGUUUUGAUGAGAAUCAUAUGGAAAAGAGGACUCGUAAAACUUUACUUGAAAGUAGUUCACUUGUGGCCGAGAAAACCCUAACUUGGCCGAUAAAACCCCUAAUUCAAACCUCUUUAUUUUGAAUACGGGGUAAGUAAACAUUUGGUGGUUCAAAUCGAAGAGGUAACAUGUUUUCGAACGGUAAAAUGGUCACAUUAGUUGCCUUGCGGAAAUAUACAAGUUUAACUAGAACUUAGCCCUCGAAUCAAUAUUUGAAAAACCCAAAUGAAAUUCUCAAGGAAAUACACCCAAUUUGAUACAAGAUACAUUUCCAAAGCCACUUUAACUUAUUCAAUUUCCAAGAAAACAAACGGACGGCAUGUCCCUUGUGUUUACCUAUUUUCCAGCCAUUAAUGGCUUCAUUAUUUUUCUCAAAUCAGUCCCAACGUGUCAUAUAGAAUAAUCCCAUCCAAAAGCCAUUCACUAGGCUUACAAGUCAUAUAAAUACACAAUAAAUACAAAGAGCAAGCUAGAAACAUUUCCGGAUAAAAACAGUUUUGACAUCAUUUUUGCGGUUUUGGCACCAAUGGUGCUACGAUUAUCGGAUGAGGGUGCAAGACCCACCAUCUCGAAGCUAAAAGACAGGGCUACAACAAUGUAGAAGGCUACUCAGUCCAAAUCCUAGCACAACUAGGUCAAACGUGCCAAAUACUAAACCAGAAUUACCAAAACAGGUUUGCAAAACACACAAAACUGUAAUGAACACAACUCAGUCUAUACAAGUCCAAAUGCCGAAAUUCCAAAGGCAUAAGUUAGCUAAGACAUCCAGCUACAUUUCAUCAGAAGACACCAACUUCAAAAUCCAAACCAAUGCCAGUCAAAACAACCAAAUACAAACGCAGUUUUCACAGUCUGAGCAACCCAGAUCAGCAAUAGUAAAAUCGACAUAUCUCUCUCUACACUAAUCCAAAUGACCUGAAAUUUUGCAGGCACUUUAACCUCAUCAAUACCUACAACUUUCAUGUUUUGAGUAAAGUCCAAUUGGGCCUCUAUCUAUGAGAUAUAAAUUCGGACAGAAUGAAGAACAUUGAAACCUAGUCUUCCCAAUUUUCCUUCCAAACCAAACUUGCUUGCAAAUAACCAUCAUACACACCUCCUAGCCUCAUUCUAUAACAUUUCCAUUCAUCAUACUUGGCCACAUAGACAAAAUCAUAUGCAAACAGAAAAAUCAUAAUUAAAUAGAAAACUUCACCAUAAUCAACCCCAAAUCAAGAUAUAACUCACAAAAUAACAUAUCCAACCCUUACAAUUCACAAUUUAACCAUUAGCAAUGCAAGAGAGAACUUUCUUAAUCAUCUUACCUCACAACUCAAGAAGACUAGCAAUUCCAAGCUUCCCCUUUAAAAUCACUCCACCCAAAAGCUUUAACCUUCCAAGAAGCUCACUUGUACGGAGGGAAUUUAAAUUCUAUCGGUGAAGUUCCAAGAUUGAAGCAAAAAUCAAAGAUGAAGAUUGAAGAGUUUUUUCUCUCUUUGCUCUCAAAGCUCACGGCUGAACAAGAAGAGAAAUGAGAUAUUUUGGUGAUCAAAAGUGAUAAGAAGGAAGAAAAAACGCUGGUCAAACCAGCUGUCCUGUCACAAUCCGGCCGGUUUCUGGCCGGAUUUCAGGCCGGAUUCCUGGCCGGAUAUGAGGCAGAGACGAAACUCAUUCUUUUUUCAAAACUUCUCCACAAUCCGGCCAACAAUCCGGCCAAGAACUGGCCGGAUUUCCGGCCGGAUUCGGUCCUUCAGCAUUUUCGCAAAAUUUUUCCUCUUUUCCAAGUUUGAUUGCCACGCUCAAUUGUACUUCUAACACGUACACAUACAUACAUAGCUCAUACAUAAUUGCACAUAACAACAAAGCCUUCCCGUUUUUAAAACGAUUAGUGAACAAUACUUCAAUUAAACGGGAACAAGAGUAAACCAAAACACUUAGAAAAUAUGCAAGGUUUAGGGUUCUCACACUCUCCCCCCCUUAGGAAAUUUCGUCCUCGAAAUUUUUCUCACCUUCAUUAGCCUCAGGCGAGUCAGGAAUCGUUCGGUUGUCUAAUGCAUAUGCUUUGGCCGGUACAUUUGUUCGGUUCACUUUUUCUUUCGUCGGUUUUGCUUUAGUCCCAUCCAGUGACUGAGUACUACCCUCACGUAGAUGCCUCCUCGGACAAGUGCUCACUUGAUGCUCACUGCUUCCACAAAUUAGACAUUUCCCCCCUUUUCGCCAACAAGCAUCCUCGGUGUGGUUGGCCUUUCCACAGUAACCACAAAUCAAGGGAGGGGUCACCUUUUGACUAUCUUGAGAAAUCUCCUUAGAUCCAAUUUGACUUCCUUUAGUAGACCUCUCUUCCAUCGCCCUUAUUGUCCAUGGCGGAUAGGAUAACUGGCUCCCCUUUUGAACUUUAGACGGCGCCAUUGUUUCACUAAACUCUUCUAAUCCACUGCCCGAUGCACCUCUUUUCCGAGUUUGGGAGGCCUUUAUUUGUGCCUUGGCUCUCUCGAUUCGUUGAGUCUUCUCAAGGGCCUCCGUAAAGGUAUUCACUUGCGCGGCUGCCAACGCCUCUUGGAUGUCCAGGUUCAAUCCUUGUAUGAACCGCCUCACUCUUCUCGGUUCCGUAGCUACUAAUUCGGAGGCAAACUUGGAUAGUUUGGUGAAUUUUGUUUCGUAUUCAGCCACACUUAAUGUCCCUUGGCGUAGUCCAAUAAAUUCGUCCUCCCUCCUUUCUUGAACUAAAGGUGGGAGGUACUUCUCGUGAAAUUCUCUGGUAAAGUUCGCCCAAGUCCAUAUGGUUCGUUCCCUUUCCCAUUUUGCUCUAAUUACGUUCCACCAUGAUCGAGCCGGUCCUUCAAAUUGGAACACUGCGAAGUUCACUUGCCUUUGCUCGGUAUAGUUUAAGGCUGUGAAUAUAUUCACCAUGGCCUCUAACCAUUGCUCAGCGAUAUCCGGAUCAGGCCCUCCAGCGAAUUUUGGAGGUGCAAACUUCUGAAACCUCUCCAGAGCCUUAUCUUCGCCCAUCUCAGGGUUCUGGGGUUGAUUCACAGGUAUUUGGCCCUGUUGCUCUACUAAUCUCGCCAAAAUAUCCAUCAUUUGCUGCAUUGCCGUCGCCAUUUGGUCUCCGGCCUCAACUCUAGGUUCUUGUUCUUGUUCGGCGGAUGUUUCCCUUUCUACUCUAGGUUCUGGGGUCCGUUUAGUUCCACGGCCUCGACCACGUCCCUGACUACGUCUCCCGUCCAUAUUUUUUUCCUUCCCCUUUUUUUUUUCCAAAAGUAAUGUAAUAAAUAAAGGCGAUAAGAUGACUAAAACAACAACAUCGAUGUACCAAGUACACAAGUAACAUUUACGCACAUAACACUCCAUAUAUCAAGUCAAUUACACAAGUACGUAUCAGGUCAGGAAAACAUUCAUACGUACGAACACAUCAAUAGACGUCGUUUAAUAAGAAUAUGCGGGCGAAUUAAACGAGGAGGUAAUGGUCGUCCCAGUCUCAGCUAAGGUAGCCCCGUCCGGUCUCUCACGUCACUUACUGUUCACACUGGAUAUCCCUUAACCUCUGGUACUCAUUCUAGUUGGAUAAAGCCUGUUCAUGGCCUCAAAAUAUAAAUCUCAUAUACUUAACAUCGUCUCAACUCUCGAGUACUCGGGUACGAGAAUCCGAGAUAAGAUAAUUCACCUCUCGAGCUGGCCAGUCCCAAGAGUAAACCAUCUACAAUCGGAAUUCCUCCCAGACGUACCUAUCUAUUGUCCUUAGAUACCACGAGAAAGAUUUAAGGCCUAUAACAUUCACAGUUCAAAGCUUAUGCUCCAACGAGCACUUAAUCCAUCAUACCUAUUUAUCACUCAGUCCAGGCUCACUCCGCGCAGAGACCACGCGAAGCAGGCUCUGAUACCAACUGUAACGGCCCCACUUCUCCCUAGGGCGUACCCCAGGGUAUCAGCGGGCCGCCUGCCCAGCUCUCGCCGGGACUCAGUCAGUCACUAUAAGAAAAGAGAAUAAAAUCCACACAACCAUCGAAAUAACAAUAAUUCCAAACUUAAACGUCAACUUAUAUACAUUACUGUCUCAAUGGAAGUACACCUGUCAAAAUAUAGGUUCUCAUUUCCCCAUACAACUAGCCCGUGCCAAGCACUAGGGCGAGAACCUUUACAAAAGAAACCGAAGUGCUAAAACGGCUAAUCUAUUCGUAGCUUCCAUCCUCGCACGUCUUCCCCUGCUAAGGAAAACAAAACUAAAGGGAUGAGCUGGAAAGCUCAGUGAGGUUCCGUACACAUAGGCAACAAGAGAAACAAAUGCAUGUAAACAACAAUUCACGAUACAAGUACAAUAAAGCGAUAAACACAUUCAUUAAAAGGAUACGUGCUCACAAGGAGCCAUUCGUGCAUUCAUUCAUUCUCCUUCCAUUCUCCUUCCUUCAAUCAUUUGAAAAUACAUUUUGUAUAAGUAAAACCCCUCAUUCAUUCAUUCAUUUCAUUCACCCCGUCCCUGGCUUUUGGCCAGGCUCCACCAACCUACAGGGUAAUACUCGAGUAUACCGAAUCGUUCACCCAAGUUCCUAAUCGCUCGACCGAGUCCGACUGUCUCGAGACGACCGGUAACAAGGGGCUAUGGCCAGUUCAGCCCGAAGGCCUACAUUCAUGCACAAUUAACAUUUCAAUCGCUCAAUCAUUAAAAUUCACAAUCAUUUAGGCUAAGUGCGGUAAAGUACACACUCGCCUCGAAAAUCGUUUUAGCAAUCAUUGAAAGCGUUUAACAUGUUAUCAAUCAUUCAAACAAGCCAUAUAAUCAGGAAGUAUAACAAAUAAGGAACACUCACCUAUACACGCAAAAUAACGCCCACUUCUCAAUCACCACGGAAACCUAAAAGGCCACAAAGACCACAUUACAAUCCAUCUAACAUGAUUUAGAUGAAAACAACCAAAACCCGACUACUCGCGAGUAAACGUAUAAAAGGACUUUCAAAGUGUAAAGAGGGCGUUUGGAUCCGUGAAUAAGAAAGGGACUUCCAAACCAAAAGGGUUAUCAAAUCUCUAACGAAAAACAUUUAACCAUAACAAAUCAAAAUCCCAAUAGAUAGGCUAAGGAAAUAUUCUCUUGGAAUUGUAAAGAAUCAUUCGUGCAGCUACAAGCCACUAUAUAUUCAAGUAGUGGUUAUAUAAUAAGGGUUUUGAUGAGAAUCAUAUGGAAAAGAGGACUCGUAAAACUUUACUUGAAAGUAGUUCACUUGUGGCCGAGAAAACCCUAACUUGGCCGAUAAAACCCCUAAUUCAAACCUCUUUAUUUUGAAUACGGGGUAAGUAAACAUUUGGUGGUUCAAAUCGAAGAGGUAACAUGUUUUCGAACGGUAAAAUGGUCACAUUAGUUGCCUUGCGGAAAUAUACAAGUUUAACUAGAACUUAGCCCUCGAAUCAAUAUUUGAAAAACCCAAAUGAAAUUCUCAAGGAAAUACACCCAAUUUGAUACAAGAUACAUUUCCAAAGCCACUUUAACUUAUUCAAUUUCCAAGAAAACAAACGGACGGCAUGUCCCUUGUGUUUACCUAUUUUCCAGCCAUUAAUGGCUUCAUUAUUUUUCUCAAAUCAGUCCCAACGUGUCAUAUAGAAUAAUCCCAUCCAAAAGCCAUUCACUAGGCUUACAAGUCAUAUAAAUACACAAUAAAUACAAAGAGCAAGCUAGAAACAUUUCCGGAUAAAAACAGUUUUGACAUCAUUUUUGCGGUUUUGGCACCAAUGGUGCUACGAUUAUCGGAUGAGGGUGCAAGACCCACCAUCUCGAAGCUAAAAGACAGGGCUACAACAAUGUAGAAGGCUACUCAGUCCAAAUCCUAGCACAACUAGGUCAAACGUGCCAAAUACUAAACCAGAAUUACCAAAACAGGUUUGCAAAACACACAAAACUGUAAUGAACACAACUCAGUCUAUACAAGUCCAAAUGCCGAAAUUCCAAAGGCAUAAGUUAGCUAAGACAUCCAGCUACAUUUCAUCAGAAGACACCAACUUCAAAAUCCAAACCAAUGCCAGUCAAAACAACCAAAUACAAACGCAGUUUUCACAGUCUGAGCAACCCAGAUCAGCAAUAGUAAAAUCGACAUAUCUCUCUCUACACUAAUCCAAAUGACCUGAAAUUUUGCAGGCACUUUAACCUCAUCAAUACCUACAACUUUCAUGUUUUGAGUAAAGUCCAAUUGGGCCUCUAUCUAUGAGAUAUAAAUUCGGACAGAAUGAAGAACAUUGAAACCUAGUCUUCCCAAUUUUCCUUCCAAACCAAACUUGCUUGCAAAUAACCAUCAUACACACCUCCUAGCCUCAUUCUAUAACAUUUCCAUUCAUCAUACUUGGCCACAUAGACAAAAUCAUAUGCAAACAGAAAAAUCAUAAUUAAAUAGAAAACUUCACCAUAAUCAACCCCAAAUCAAGAUAUAACUCACAAAAUAACAUAUCCAACCCUUACAAUUCACAAUUUAACCAUUAGCAAUGCAAGAGAGAACUUUCUUAAUCAUCUUACCUCACAACUCAAGAAGACUAGCAAUUCCAAGCUUCCCCUUUAAAAUCACUCCACCCAAAAGCUUUAACCUUCCAAGAAGCUCACUUGUACGGAGGGAAUUUAAAUUCUAUCGGUGAAGUUCCAAGAUUGAAGCAAAAAUCAAAGAUGAAGAUUGAAGAGUUUUUUCUCUCUUUGCUCUCAAAGCUCACGGCUGAACAAGAAGAGAAAUGAGAUAUUUUGGUGAUCAAAAGUGAUAAGAAGGAAGAAAAAACGCUGGUCAAACCAGCUGUCCUGUCACAAUCCGGCCGGUUUCUGGCCGGAUUUCAGGCCGGAUUCCUGGCCGGAUAUGAGGCAGAGACGAAACUCAUUUUUUUUUCAAAACUUCUCCACAAUCCGGCCAACAAUCCGGCCAAGAACUGGCCGGAUUUCCGGCCGGAUUCGGUCCUUCAGCAUUUUCGCAAAAUUUUUCCUCUUUUCCAAGUUUGAUUGCCAUGCUCAAUUGUACUUCUAACACGUACACAUACAUACAUAGCUCAUACAUAAUUGCACAUAACAACAAAGCCUUCCCGUUUUUAAAACGAUUAGUGAACAAUACUUCAAUUAAACGGGAACAAGAGUAAACCAAAACACUUAGAAAAUAUGCAAGGUUUAGGGUUCUCACAGGUUCAGUCUAAAACAUGGAUAAAUUUGCAGUCCAAGAUGAGUCCAGAAACAAGGUAAAGCUGAAAUUACACUUCUAAACUAACCUUUGUAUAUAACCACAAUUACACAUACGAAACAUAAGAUAUUCCACAUAUCUAAUUAGGCCACAAUGCCCCUUCAAUAUGCCCCAAUUGAUAACUCCAAAACCAAUCACAAUUAAUCCCUAAUUCGAAACUCUAAAACUGAAAUUUUCGCACAAAUCUGAAAUUUUUCGCAAACAACCACAACUAACACACAAAGGCGCCAUUUGACACCAUAUCAAGCUAUCAUUCCAUGACCAACCAACAAUUAUCAUCUAAAAUCAGAAAAUUCACUAACAAAUGAGAAAUUUGUCAAACUCUACUUAAAAUCAUGAAAUCAUCCACAAACUAGCAUAUCUAAGCUCUACAAACCACUAAUUUCUGAUUAUGAGGAAGAAAGAGAGGAUUUCUUGGCCACUUACCUUACAACACAAGAAACAAGGUAGCUUAGAGCUUUCCCUUCACCAAAGACUCCACCAAAGCCUUUAUUCUUCCUUGGUACACACUUGUAUGGAGUAAUUUCCAAAACUAACGGUUGAAACUCAAGAUUUAAGCAAAAAUGGAAGUUGAAGUUGAGGAAACUCUCUUGGUUUUUUCUCAAAGUGGCCGGCCAAGCAAAGGGAAGAAAUGAAGAAAUAUCAGCCAAGGAACAAGAUAAGAAUGAAGGAAAACAGCCGGUCAAACUUGGCUGCCGAAGGUGCCACGUCACAAUCCGGCCCAGAUCUGGCCAGAUUGCUGGCCGGAUUUGGGGCAGUGGCGAAAUCCAAUUUUUUCAAAACCCCAAACCAAUCCGACUAGGUAUCCGGCCAAGAACUGGCCGAAUUUCCGGCCGGAUUCACCAAAAAUCACUGUUCACCAGAAUUUUUUUCCUUUUCUUCUUCUUUCAGGCAUCACAGCAUAUGUUUCGGGACUGUAGUUGGACAAACAAGAUUUGGGAUUAGCUGGUGGAUAGUUUAAUGAGUUAAAUCUACUAGAAUGGAUGGACUAGAAUAUCAAAGAAAUGGAGACUGGGAGGAAUAAGGAAAUGAAUUGGCAGCUGACUUUCCAACAGAUGGUGUACCAUAUUUGGUCUGGAAGAAAUGAGGCGAACAUCGAAGGGAAGGAGAAGCGAAUUAAAAUGCCAACAACACAUCUAUUGGCUCAAAUUCAAGGAACGCAAGAAGUGCUGCUAAUUGAUUGAAAAAUUAAGAGAAUGGAAUUGAUGUGCAUUAACUGGGUGAAACCACCACCCAAGUGGAUAAAAGUCAAUGUGGACGAAACAGGUGAAUGGAACCCGGGCACAGUAGGAGCAGGUGAACUUAUCAAAGACGAGUUUAGAAAAUGGAAGCAAGGAUUUUGUAUAAACCUGUGAAAUGCCACAAAUGUGAAUGUCGAGUUUUGGGAUAUGUUAAUUGGGUUGGAAAAGGCAUGAGAAACAGGCUAUUGGAAAGUGGUCCUUGAAUCAAAUUCUCUAACAAGCCUCUAACUGGUAAGAGAUGGAAAUAGUAAUAGUCCUCAAUUCAAUCUUAUCAAAGCAGAUUAGAAACUGGAGGGAUAAGGAUUAGAAGUGUAAGAUCCAACAUGUUUGGAGGGAAGGAAAUACAUGUGCAGAUUGCUUGGCCAAGCUCAACCUGAAAAGCACCCCAGGAGUGUAAUAUUAUGAGGAACCUCCAUAAAUAGUUAGGAGACUUUUGAGUAAUGAUGCAGCAGGGGUUGCAACCCCUUAUUUAGUUCCUAUGUAAAGGGCUUGUGGCCCUCUAUAGAACCAAAAAAAAAAAAACCACUACCUCAUCAGCCUAUUUCAUAUCAGUGCUUACAUACAUGAGUGGACAUGUAUUGACACACCUUUGCAUAAGUUCAGUUAUCACUGCCAAUUUUUAGUGUACCCUUCACUAAUCGGCCCUGUUCUAAUGCCACUGCCAAUAAAACCCUAGGUUGCCAAUUUAUAAAGACUAGUUGCUAAUUGCACCAUCCAAUGACCUCCGUCUAUUGCAAUUGAUACUCUCCUCGAUAUAAAGCCAAUUGUUCACUUAUCAAUGAUUUGUACAUAGUACACGAACACAAGCAAUGGCAAGCUAGGAUACAGAGGGUUAGUUUUUCUUAGCUCCUACUGAACCAAGAUAUUUUGAGACAAGUAAGGGCCAAGGUGAGGUUGCAAUACCAUAAAGAUUUUCUAGUUGAUAAAGAUUCCAACUGGAUACCACAAGGUUGGAAGGGAAGAGUUUUUUAUGCAUUCUCGUGUUGGAAUUUUGUUCAAGAGUGGCAAAAAAGGGUUCUUGUUACUGUAGAGAAAUGAACUACUAUACAAUUUUGUUGUCAGAGCAAAAAGUAAUUUUUUCCUAUUAGUUAAGGAUGAUUGACACAAGAUAAAUGUCCUUUUAUUCUCUACUAAUUUUUGAAAUUUGUUUUCGAUCUAUACCACAAAUUGAAACUAAUUUUUCGGUGGUUGAUUUGAAAACCUAGGUGCUCAUAACAAUACGCCAACUUCAUAUAUCAUUGGCAACACUCAAUUCGUUCACUUCUUGGCGUAAUUAUUCCAUUAUCUACAUAACCUGCGUAGCAAAAAAACAAACGCAUUAAGCUAUGUAGCUAAUUGCACACGGUAUUAGUUGGUAUGAAACAACGGUUGCAUUGUGACAGCCCCACCUCCCCCUAGGGCAUAUCCUAAGGGUUACCGAACUGCCUGCCCAACUCUCGUCAGGACUACUAAACUGAACACACGAAGGCCAAACCAUUCCGAACGAUAGUACUGCGAUCAAACGUUUCAAUGAAAACGAAGAGCGAAAACGAAAAUGAAAACGAAAAGCCGUGGCGUCACAAUCCGGCCAAAUUCUCGGCCGGGUUCAAGAAAGUGAGCAACUUUUUUUUUUUCGAUCCCCUACUAAUCCAGCCAUGUAUCUGGCCAAGAACUAGCCGGAUAUACGGCGGGAUUCACUGAACAGUGUUCUUGCCAAAAAUUUUUCUUUUCCGUUCAAACUCCGUACCCAACCGAUUCCCAAAUAGAUGCAAGUAAACUUUAUAUAAAUCCAGAGAAUGUACAUUCCCAACAAAUAUGUCGAAGAAACAUGAUUAACAACUUAUAUACAAACAUUGGUAAUUUUACAAGUCAAAAUGUGACAUUUGAUUAAAAUACAAUUAGGGUUUUCCAUUAUAGAGAAGCUAUACAAAAGAAUAUUUAUACUAGCUCGACUCUUUCUUCAAAAACAUCACAGUUCCAACAUAUUGUUCUCUGUAAGGAAAACAAAGGCAACGGGGUGAGUUUUCACCGAAUGAGAUACCAACACGCCAAGUAUUCAAGAAUCACAAAAGUACAAUUGUACUCAAUCCAAAUAUAGCCAUCAAAAAAUAGGAAUGACACCACACAUAAACAGGGAGUAAAAGGAUGCAGGCGGCUUUCAGUAGUUCAUUUUCUCUUUUGCAGUACUUGAUCCCAACUCGUUGACUUUCUGUCAAUGCUUAAAGAACAAACAUGACUGUAAACCCCACUUUACCCCAAAUUCUGUCCACCACACAUACCCCUUAUCGGGCCCGAGCCCCAAACAGAAUAGAGGUGAUAAUACUUCAGUAUACCUGAAAUCCAGAGUUUCCAAUACCCAAAGAUUCCCUAGAAACAGUCCCCAUGGCUUGUCAAUUUUUCCUCGACCAAGCCCUUGCUGGCUCGAUUCAAUUGACUACCAAUGAGGUUGAGUUCAGAUUUAACAGAAAAGGUCGUUGGAUACACGUCCAAACGAGAUCAGAUUAGGCACAACCAAGAGAUUUCAGUUAUACAGUAAACAAUCAAAUAAGCAAGAGAGAGCGAGCGUGAUAAAGUACACCCUCGUUUCAACCAAAAUAAACAGAAAUCACAGUCAUUCAAGUCACAGAUUUCAAGUACAAGUAAAGCAAGGAAGCAACAAUCAUGUAAGUGGUACACUCACCAGUUCAAAUAAAAUUAACUUCAAACGUUUUCUCCCGAGGUACACCUUGAAUCACCGGCACGUCCUACGAACAACCAAGAAGAACAAUUGAGACUCGAUUACGAGUCGUAUACCUAUUCAAUAAACUACUAAUGCAAGGCAAAAUAUAGCUUGGGAGUGAAAAUAAGUAAUGAUUGGUGCUAAAGGUAUAAACGACCCCAAAACCUUUCAUUUCUACCCAAAAUCCACCUAAACUCAAAGGAACUAAAUGGCCUCCACAUUUGGACAGCAUUUCCCCUAAAUUCUUUACUUUUUUCACCCUACACUCAACACCAAAACUUAUAUCAAUCCUACCUCAAUAGCAACCACAAAUCAAAAGCUAUUACAUACACUUUAUUAGGGCCACAACACCCUUCACAUACAACCAUUUGAUAGCUCCAUAACCAAUCACAAUAACUCUCAAAUUAGAAACCCUAAACUAAAAUUUAGGUACACAAGCUGAAAUUUUUCGUAGGCAAGCAAAACAAGCAUAAAAAAACUCAACAUUACACAUAACAAAACUAUCAAUCCAUGACCAAUGUUCAUACAUCGAAUAAGAGCAGAAAAUUUCACCAUAAAACUGAAUUUUCCCAUUUCACCACUUUCUUUAUGAAAUUUUCCAUAAAACUACAACAAUUGAAACCCUAAACCACUAGUUGGAAAUUAAUUGAAGUAGAGGGAAGAUUCUUGUCAAAAUUACCUUGUUCCUCCAAGAAAGGUGGAAGUUUAGUACUUUCUCCUCCAAUGUCACUCCACCAACACCUUUAAUCCUUCUUAACACUUUUAUGGAGUGGUUUGCAAAGUGGUUGGCUAAAACUCAAGAUUCAAGCAAGUUUAGUAGUGAAACAAUGAAGCUUUCUCUCUUGUUUUUCCUCUCAAAAGGGCUGGCCAAGAUAGAAGAAAAGUGAAGGAAAUUUGGUCAAAUUUUAGUUUAGUAAAGGUGAAGAAGGUUAGGUCAAAGUCUAUCAUCCAUUGAUUUCAUGACACUUGGCUUUCCUAGGCUUAUUCUUAUCCUUUUGUCUACCAAUGGUUAAUCUAUCUAGCUAAUAUCUAAUUGCCCCUUAACACCUUAUAAAAUAACAUCCUUUCCCACCAAGCUCCAACUAAUCGUCAAAAUUUAAUCGCACUAAUCGCACUAGUAGGUCCCACGUCCAUAAUGCACUUCAAAAUUAACAUGAACUAACUUAUACUAGAAAAAUGAUUUAAAAACUAUUCUCACUUAUAAAAAUAUCUAGGAAAUUAAUCUAGUAAAGGAAAAUAUAGAAAAUAUAUGUAAGGAAAUAAAAUAAUGACUAGAAAAUAAGAAAAUUUUCAGGUCCUCACAUGCAUGCCCUAUAGAAAUUUGGAGUAUCAACCUAACCCUCUGAUACUAUCAUGGUUUUGAUUCUUCGUUCAGUUGGCAUGGCUGAUAUGAUAAAGUUGGUUUUGCUUUAGAGCAAACACUUUCUUUAAAUGUGCUCAUUGACCUGACUUAAGGAUUAAAGGCUAUACACACACACACACACUCACUCAUAUGUAUCUAUAUAAUAUCAAAAAAUAGAGAAAUAGAGUUAAUCAACACUCACGUUCUGUGAGCACUCGUACUUUUAUUCUUAAUUUUACCUAUUUUAAAAUUAUUUGCAUUGGUGUUAUUUAAUUUUAUUAUUUUAGUAUGAAUUUUAUUUAAAUUAUAUUUUUAUCGCUUACACGUUAAAUUUUUCAAAAGUCGCACCAGCACGACUAAUUGAGGAUUUGGAGAAUUUAUCUUAGACUAGUAAGAAUAAGUAUUAGUGGUACAAGAGAAACUAUCUUGGAAGAUUAGUAUUUAAGUGUAGCAAACAAGAAGGAAACUAGUAGUGCAUGACACUAUUUAGGCUACUAUUCCUAAUUGACCUUUUAACCACCAAAAGCUAGUUUUCUUCUCACCUUCACAUCACAAUUCAAAGCUUCAUCUUCUCUUAUUUUUCUCUCUUAUUGGCCAAACCUCCAAGCUCCAAAAGAAGAGGAGAAAAACUCCAACUUCAUCCACAAAUCUUGCUCCAAGAAUUCAUCCAACACCUUCAAACCUCUAGAAGUUGAUCUAGUUAGAAGAAAGCUCUUACCUUGUGGUGAUUUCUUGGUGGUUUGGUGGUGCAAAUCUUGGCUCUAUCUAGGGUUGAAGAAGUUUUGGAGAAGUAACAAGCUUCACUUCCCUUGAUCUUUAGUUUUAUACAAGAGUUAGUAAUGGUUUUGGGUUGUUAUGCAAGGGUAUUUGAAACCCUUACCAAAGCUUAGUUAAAUGAUUUGAGGAAACCCUUGUUUUCUUGAUUUAUACUUAGGUAGAUGCCUUGAGGUGGAUGAUUAAGUAGUGGACUUGAGGAUUUCUUGUUUAUUUGGUUGUUAUUUUUGUGAUUUCUAACUUGAUUUUUGGCUUGAAUGUUGGAGAGAAAAUUUGAAGAGAAAGAGAGGAGGUGCUGUCCGAAAUUUUGCUAAUUUAUUUCUCUUGAUUUAAUUUCAAAUUUUGUUGUUAAAUUGCUGCAAAAAUGCUUGUUAUAUGUUGGAUUGUGUGUGUAAAAAUUAUCUCUUAAAAAUCAUUUCUUUUGAGUGGUUGAAAGUUAGGCUAAACAGAGAAAAAAUCAAAUCUGGAAAAUUGAUCAGGGCAGUCUGCCUGUCCGCACUCAACAGCCUAUAAAUUUUCUUCCAAGAGUCAAAAUCAAGUGCUAUUUGUGGCAUUUGAAACUGGACACCAAGGUCUUUCCAAUGGUAUAAAAUAUCCCUGCUAAUUCAUUUUCUGUGAGCCGUGGCAAACUGGCAAAAUUGACUGAUUUUCUCUUACUGUUUUACCCAAGAAACCUGCACAGCUGCAUCUUGUAGCUUAUUUUCACUCCUCUUGUGAAAUGAAUUUGAAAACGGUUUCUUCUAAUGAUUUUUAGUACUUUGAAUGUAGUUUUUCAACGCCAUAAAUCACACUAAAUUUGGACUUGUGUAGCCCUAGUUAGGCCCUGAUUUCAAAACUGUGUUGAUGCUCCAAGGCUGGAAAUCCGUGGAUCAGGUUUCAAAAAUCAGUUUUUGUAAAACUGUUGUAACUUGGUGUAGGGAAAUCCAAAUUUAGUUCUGCUUGUUGAGUUUGAAACUAGACUUGAAAUUCUUUAAGUGUUAUAAAUUUUAGAGAUUAAUUCGGUUCCUAUGAAUUUUGCUAAAAUUUCAAAUUUCACUAAAAAUUGAGUCUGUUUUGCCCUGUUUUAAUGAAGCAGCAAGUUGGAGCUGAGAUUUGAACGAUUUUUUAUUCGAAUCUGGAAAAAGUUUCUUCUAAAGAGUUUUAUUACAUUAAAUCUAGUUUCCAACGGUGUGAAGUUUCCAAUUUUUGGACUUAAGAAACUCAAGAUGUGAUUUUUCAAGUAUUGUCGCACAAAGCUGAAAUUUUCUAGUUUCAAACAAAAUGCCCUUCUUAAGAAUUUUCAACUUUCCUUUGAGAUUGUUAAUCCAUUUUAAGUUUGAUUUCAUGGAUGGAUACAAGGUUUCUUGUAACUUUAGGCCUUCAUUUUGAAUUUUGGUUUCCAAAGGAUUAAGCCUCUCUUGAUACGUUUUUUGUGGUUGCCUAAACAAAUGAAUUUUCUCCCUUGUAUGCUAAGUGGUUUAGUGUAUAUGUGAGUGAUGGAUUAAGGGGGAAAUUGGUCUAAAAGUGGUUUGCAUUUAGUGAUGGCUGGUUGAUAUUUUCUCAGGUGUUCAAGAGAAUUUCGAAAGGAAUCCCGGUGCAAACAAUUUAAGGACAUACUUGCUCGCUUGCUUUUGAAUUUGAUGAAUGUCAAUUGCAUGACUUGUUGCAUAAUACUUGGAUCGCUUCUUGUUGAUUAUGCGAAUUAAACUUGUCGAGGCGAGUGUAUACUUUAUCUCACUCGUCCUCUCUUGCUUGACUUGAUAAUUGACUCGCUCGUACUUGAUAAUUAUACUUGUGAUUGUGCUUGACUUGGCGUCGAUUUGAGAGCAAUCUCAUCAACUUAUACUUGAACUUGGGGGCCCCAAAACCCAGUUGCUAGCCAUUCAACUCAAGCCGGCAAGAGCUUGGUGAACCUUGGGCUUGUGUACUUGACUUGCUUGGAUAUACUCGAGUAAUAACAAAAACUUGUUUGACAUUCGGGCCCGGUAGGAGGUGUAUCGGUGGACAGAAAUUGGUGAAAAGUGGGGUUCUGCGGACUUGUUACUUGCUCGGUUGACGGAAUGUCAGCACUUGGAAAUGUUGGAUCAAGAUUUUGACAAAGCAGUGUGGAUUUAGCUCCUGAGAGCUUCUGUAUUCUUUAUUGAUUGUGUUUUGUUUUCUUCUGUGAGUUGCAUAAAUAUUGUGGCUGCCCUUCUUUUAUAAGUUUUAAUGUUCGUUGUACUUGCUUGCUUGUCUGUUUUCUUGGCCUUACUGAGCGUCAGCUUACCCCCCUUAAGUUUGUUUUCCUUAACAGGAACUUGAAGUGGAAAGAUUUUGGAGAAACUGGCUUUGAUUGUAUUUUGGUCUAAUUAUAGAUAUACAUGAAUUAACCGACUUUUGGUGGUGGUAUUUUUUUGAAAAAUUUGAGGUAACCUUUGAAAAUAUUAUGAUGUAGAAUUGAAUGACUAUUGAAGGAAGCGGCUUUUCUUUAUAUUAGUUUUCUUAUUGGUUGACUAGUUCUAAGUUUAAAUUGGGCUUGUAUCGAGUCCUAGCGAGAGUUAGGCAGGCAGCCUGCCGAAACCCUAGGAUUCGCUCUAAGUAAAAGUGGGGUCGUCACGCAUUCACUUUAAGAGGUGCUUCAAGGGGUUUAUAGGCUUGCAUCAAUGCAUGUUGUUUUUCCCGUCUUUAUGUUCCAACUUUUCAAAUAUGAAUUUGGUCACCACCUUCAGCUGCAUAGUUGCCACCUUUGCAUCUCUAGUGGCAUUUGAGUCUUUUGCAGGACAUCUGUUAUGAAGUUGUAUGAGUAACUAAAACUCCAUAUUUGGAACUUACUAUAUAGAUAUUUCAUAUGGAAAAAGAAAAAUAAUGCGUAAACUUUUUUUUUCAUUUACCUGGCGUUAGACAUUGAAUACUAAAUAAAACCUUGCAAGCCUAUUAGUAUUGUGAAAAGUAUCUGUGACAACUAGCCAACCAUAGAAGUAUAAUUAAAAAUAAAUAUCGUAAGGAUUGAUAUUUAAAAACUGGAAGAAAGGCUCAAUUGUUUGUUUUUUUACCAGUAAUAGUGAAAUCUUUUGCUUAAAAAUAAAAAAUAAGUUGCAUUAAAUUGUUGCAAUGCUUUUGACACCCAAAGGAAUGAUGAAUAUGAGAUAAUAUGUGCCACUAAAGUCUCAAAUCAGAUUUUCAUCAAAUUUGAUUAUUGAGAUACCAAUCAGAUAGAUAUCACGUUUUGCUCACUUAGAAUUGGACAUAUAUGGAAAUGUGACUUCAAAAUUUUAUUAUUAUUAUUAUUAUUAUUAUUAUUAUUAUUUUUUAAUCCGGCUAACCUCGAACACGAGGGGGGACGCCACUCCCAAAUUUAUUGAAAAAUAGACACAAGAGAUGUUCUGUUUUGAGAUGUUCGCCAGAAGGGCUAAGACAACCGUACAUAAGGCAUUCGCAUCUUAUCUAGGCGGGCUAGCCCCUGUAUGUAGUCCGGGAGGGUGGAGGCCCCAAAGCUGUGAUCGACACCCGUGGAACUUGCUAGAUUUGCCAGGGCGUUAGCCACCCCGUUUGCCUCCCGAUAGACAUGAGAGAAGGUAACCUGGCGGCCCAGCGCUAAGGCUUGGAUGCGUGAGAUAGUCUUCCAUAGCUUCCAAGGUACUCGUCCAUUGUCAUUCACCAUAGCCAUCAGAACCUGAGAGUCCAUUUCAACUUGCAGAGAGUGGUAACCUGUGGAGAGCAACAUACCCUCCAGUAAUGCCGAGGCCUCCGCUUCCAUGUUUGUCCUUGAGCCCAAAAAAUAGGAGAAACCACGGAGGACAUUACCCCCCGAGUCACGAAACACACCUCCCGCACCAGAUGAGCCUGGAUUCCCUAGAGAUGAGCCAUCAACAUUCAAUUUUACAAACCCCUCAGGUGGUGAUUCCCAAAGGACCCAGCGUGGGGCCAUCCGCUUCGGUGACGUCAGUCGGAGAAACAAGCCCGAGCGGACCAGCUCCCCGUCAUCCCGCGUCACUCGAGCGAAAGGCCGGGCCUGGGACAAGUGAUGCAGCAGCGUUUGAAUAUUCCAGCAAACCUGAGUUGGGGUUAAAACAACGCCCUCAAACACCGCCAUGUUCCUAGCUUUCCAAAGGCCCCAACAGAUUAGCGACGGCAAUACCUUGCACAGCUUACCCCGUGCAGAGCCUGGAGGAUGACAUAGCCACCAUUGCUGUAAACGGGAGAUAGUGUCGGCCGUAGGCGACUGAGGAACCCACAUGGCCCUGGCGAAAAAACUCCAAACCUGAGAUGCUAGAACGCAUUCCGAGAAGACGUGAUCUUGAGACUCUCCAUUCAAGCAAAACGAGCACUUUGAGGGGAGUUGGAGGCCAAACCGCUGAAGGGCAUCAGGGAAAGGGAGAUACCGAUUGGGCAGCUUCCACAUAAAGACAGCAAUCUUGCAAGGAGCACUGGCACUCCAUACACACUUCCUAGAUCCAAGGCAAGCUCUUUUGGGCCGCAAAGCGUCCCAAGCUGAAGAAAUGGUGAAAUCGCCAGAAGAUGUGAGGGUCCAAGCUGGUCUAGCUCUGUCGUCUAACUCAAUUAAGCGGGUGGACUGCGUCACCAUAUCAGAAACGGACAGCAUUCGUCGCCAGACUCUGGAUGCUCCACAGACUACCCCAUUGUCCUCACUAUAACGGGAUCGCAUGAAUAGUGCCCACAAGGAGGAAGAAUGGCGGAACUGCCACCACAGUUUGCAGCUGAAAGCCCCUUGUAUGCUUUUAAAAGAACGUAUGCCAAGGCCAUCCUCCUCCACUGGAUAACAUAGGUUUUUCCAGGAACGCCAAUGAUGUUUAGGGCCCAGCUCCGUCUGCCCCCAGAAAAAAUUGGCCAUAAGGCGUUCCAGCUCCUUUAGCACCCCGGAUGGCGGGUCCAUGACGGCUAACACGUGCGUAGGUAUGGCAGAGAGCACAUGCUUAAUAAGUAUGAGUCGCCCCCCCUGGGAGAGGAUCUUUUUCUGCCAGCCCGCAAGUUUAGCAAUGAAUUUAUCGAUUAGGAAUUGGAAGUAUUCUUUUUUCCUACGUCCUGCAUAUAGGUUGCACCCCUUCCUUUGGGUGUCAAAAGCAUUGCAACAAUUUAAUGCAACUUAUUUUUUAUUUUUAAGCAAAAGAUUUCACUAUUACUGGUAAAAAAACAAACAAUUGAGCCUUUCUUCCAGUUUUUAAAUAUCAAUCCUUACGAUAUUUUAUUUUUAAUUAUACUUCUAUGGUUGGCUAGUUGUCACAGAUACUUUUCACAAUACUAAUAGGCUUGCAAGGUUUUAUUUAGUAUUCAAUGUCUAACGCCAGGUAAAUGAAAAAAAAAGUUUACGCAUUAUUUUUCUUUUUCCAUAUGAAAUAUCUAUAUAGUAGCCUGAUCUAAUCGAGGUUUAUGUUUAAGGGCUAGAUUUCUAUUACCAAGAAUGGAAAAGAGCUUUUAAAAUUUUUGAGUAGGAUAUCAAUUCAUGUGUUAACACGCCAAAAUAAAUAAUGAACUAAAAAUUGGUGAAAAGAAAUGAAAAAAUUCAAAUAAAAAGCCUUCAAAAAAAGUAAUAAACCUUAAAAAGAUUGAACUAAUAAAGAACAAACAUGUCUUGAUAAAAGAAAAUCUAUAAAUUUUGUAUACCAUAAAAUUACUUGUUUUUAUGAAUUUUUUGAUGUUUGUAUACCAUAAAAUUAUAAUUGUUUGAUGUUUCUUUCAAUUUUUCUAGCCAUAAUUUGAAGUUUGAUGUGUAGAGUCCAACAUAAUGAUUUGCAUCUUUUCUCCACAAGAAAUGGCCAUGGUUGGCCAGGAUUCCUUUCUUUUCUCGAUCUAUUCUUCAAACUAUAAUGUUAGACCAAUUCAACUUUAAGCACUAUUUUAUUCCUUGAUUAUUGACUCUUAGUUUACAAUGACAUUAAUUAUCAAUUUAUUAAUUUCAUAAGUUCAAAAUUUAUUUUACCAAAAAUUACUCAUAUAUGAUACACAUGCGAAGCACAUGCAUUUUCCUAUUAAAAUUAAGUUUCGAAUGUUAUUAACAUUAGUUAUAGAGAAUGUUUCCACCAAAAGUUAUUGCAGUCUGUAAAUGUAGAUUUGACAUUUGGUUAAGUGAACAACUUCUCUUAAUUUUUGUACUUCAGAAAGCUGAUUUUGCUUUCAAGAAAAAUAUUUAACUUGAGAAACUCUACUCAUUCACCCAGUUCAUUUCAUAUUUGAGAAAUAGGCAUACAUGCCUAUCACUUGAAGAUAUGAAUUGCAAUUUUCUACUAAAAGAAAUUUACUUGAAGUAUUCCUGUUUUGCUAAACUCCUAUUGAGAUACUAUCAUCUUUCCUUAAGGUGAUAACUAGAAGAACAUAAGAGAAUGUGGUCAACAAAUGUUGAAGACUCACUUUUGAGAGUUUCAAAACAAAGAAUGAAUUUUCGCUAUCUUCACAUUUCUUUUCUUAUAGAGGUGAAUUAGAUGCCAAGAACAUAAAACCUAAUAAUUGUUGAAUUGGUUUGUUAUGAAAUGUUGGGAAAGGGGUAUUGGUGCACGCACAUAAUAUUAGAGUUAACUCAGGACAAAUUACUCUUUCUCUAAGUACCAGUUAAAAUAGGAACAGACCAAAUUAUUAAGCAAUGAUAUCAAUAGAAUAACAAAAUGUAGAAAAAUAAAAUACAUAGGACACCAAGAUUUUUAACGUGGAAUACCCAAAUUGAAAAAAAAUCACUGGAUCUAGUUUAGUCAAAAAUCUCCACUAUCACAGUAAUGGAAAUACACAAGUUUACCCGGAACAUCCUAAUGACAACAACAUCACCAUCAUCAACCAAGCGAAAUUGCUACAAAAUUAUUCUUCAAAAACUACAACUGUCAAAGAAGUGGGUUUGGAAGGGUGUUACCAAACGAAGAGAAAAUCCAAAAUCUAAAUCACAAUGAGUAGAACUUGACAAGAGGGAGGCGUGGCUAAAAUUAUGUUUCAACCGAGUUUCAAAUCACUAUCUGAUCAUGGCCUUGAAAUUGUUUCUCUCUCUAGUUUUUCUUCCCAAUUUUCUCUCUCUUUAUUUCUUUUAAGAAUGUAAAGUAAUAGCUGAAGCUUUUCCUUGUUUCUAAAAAUGAAAAGAAACACGUGGCUCUAGUACUAGGGCUUUGUUUUUUGGGCUAUCAAAUGAGGAGGACCAAGCCCAACAAUCUACCCCUCCAACUCAUUUUAGGGGGGGGGGUUCCACCAAACCUACUUUGUGUAUGCAAAGCAAAAGUUUCUUCCUAGAUAAUAUCUUGGUCAAUAUAUCAGCACCAUUAUCAAUAGUGUGAAUUUUCUCAAGUGUCAAUAACUUGAAAUUCAACACAUCCCAAAUCCAAUGAUAUCUCGCAUCAAUGUGCUUUAAUCGUGAGUAAAAUGUGGAAUUCUUACACAAAUAAAUGGUACUCUAAUUGUCAUAGUGAAGACUGUACUUUAAUUGCUUCAUACCUAACUCCUGAAGGAAUUUCUACAAUCAACGAGUCUCCUUGCAUGCUUCAGUGGCUACAAUAUACUCUUAGCUUCGUACUUCAAAAGGCGAUAUACUUCUGUAACUUAUUUUUCCAUGACACUGCUCUCCCUGCAAAAAUCAUCAAGUACCCAGAUAUGGUCUUCCUGUUAUUGAGAUCACCUGCCAUAUUUGUAUUGGUGUAUCUAUCUAUCAUGGUCUUGCUAUUGUCGAAAUAUAAAUAUAAUUUGGAAGCUCCCUUGAGAUACCUGAGAAUCUACUUGACAGCAUUCCAAUGCUCCUUACCAGGAUUGGAAAGAUACCGGCUGACUACUCUAACUACAUGAGUAAUAUCUAACCUGGUAUAAACCAUAGCAUAUGUCAAACUGCCAACAGCUGACUCAUAAGGGAUCUUUCUCAUGUCUUCUUUGUCUUUCUCAUUUGUAAGACACUAUUUAAUACUUAGUUUAAAGCGACCCGUAAGUAGAGUAGAGACUUCGUUAGCUUUACUCAUGUUAAAUCUAUCAAGUACCUUCUCAAUGUACUUUUUUUGAGACAACCAAAGCUUUCUAUUUUGCCUGUCCCCAGAGAUUUUUAUCCCAAAAAUCUAUCUAGUUGGAUUCAAAUAUUUCAUUGCAAAACAUUUACUUAAUUCCUUUUUUAGCCUGUGAAUUUUCAUAGCAUCAUGGCUAACAAUCAACAUGUCAUCAACAUAUAGCAAGAGAAUAAUAAAAUCACCAUCAGAAAAAUUCUUCACAUAGACAUAAUGAUCAGAUGUAGUCCUGUGGUACUGGUGAUCCAUCAUGAAUGAGUCAAAUUUCUUGUACCACUGCCUUGGCGCCUGUUUCAAUCCAUACAAGUUCUUUCUUACACGACAUACAAGGUUUUUUUUGCCACUUUCUUUGAACCUCUCUGGUUGUUCCAUAUAAAUUUUUUCUUCCAAAUCACCAUAUAGGAGGUUGUCUUCACAUCAAGUUGAUCAAUCUCCAAAUUCAAAUUGCCGCAAUACUACGUACAAUUAGAAUUGACGACAUCUUUACCACAGGAGAGAAAAAUUUCUCAAAAUCUAUACCUUUUUUUUGAUUGAACCCCUUUACAACCAAUCUUGCCUUAUACUUUGGCUGAGUUAUGCUCUUGAGUCUUCAACCUAUAAACCCAUUUAUUUUUCACUGCUCUCUUGUCCUUAGGCAGUUUCACUAGAUCAUAGAUGUAAUUCUCAUGUAAUGACAGUAUCUCCUCUUGCAUAACUUGUAACUAGUUUUUUUUUCUCUCAUGCUCUAGAGUCUCGUUGUGGAAUUUCGAUUUCCCUCCAUCUGUCAGGAACACAUACUCAUUAAGAUUAUAUUUACUAGAAGGUCUUCUCUUUCUGAUAGAUCUCCUAGACUCAUCUUGUGGUGGUGAUGGAGUUAGUGGUGUCUCUUACUCAAGUUCAUCAGUAGCAGUAUUAUUAUCAUCAAUAUCCUCUCUCUGUUCUAUCUCAACUCCCCAUGGUUGAAAUCAACUGGUACUGGAACUGGAUUUGGAUCUAAACUAGCAAGAAUGUCAUUUGAGAAUCUUAACUUGUCAUCUUUAUCAAUGUACUAAUGGUUUGAUCUUUAAGGAAGACAAUAUCUCCACUUCUGAUCACGUUCCUUUCAACAAGAUCAUAUAGUCUAUAGUCAAAAUCUUCCUGCCAAUAACCUAAGAAAAUAUACUGCCUUGAUUUCACAUCAAGUUUUGACCUUUCAUCUUUAAAAAUAUGAACAAAUACAUCGCAAUCAAAAACUCUCAAAUGUUUAAAGGACACAUCUUUUUCCGUCCAUACUCUCUCUAGGAUAUCACCAUCCAAAAGAACUAAUGAAGAAAGAUUAAUCAAAUCAACUGCAGUCCUCAUUGUUGCAGCCCAAAAGGAUUUUGGCAGUUUAGGAUUAAAGAGCAUAUAUCUGACCUACUUAGUGAUGAAUUUGUUCAUUUUCUUUACUAUUCUAUUCUCUUGAGGAGAUUUUGGCACUAUUUUUGUGACGACCCCACCUCCCCCUAGGGCGUACCCUAACGUUUAGCGGACCGCUUGCCCAACUCUCGCCAGGACUCACUCACGCGUAACUCGAUAAAGAUACCACGUCUAUAGAGAAGAAAUGAAACAACAAUCUCAAACUACAUAUACACGCCCAAAAUGUUAAAGUAUUUACAACCCAAGUAAAAUUAACCCUAGUACGGUGUUAGCGCGAGUACAAUUGGAAAAUUCAAAAACUAGACUACGCUAGUUUGUACAAGUCUCAUGCCUCGCUCGUACCCCCUGUAAGGAAAACAAAUGGCGUGGAAUGAGUUAAAAGCCUAGUGAGGUUCCAAAUAGCAAGUUGACCAUUAUUUCAAAGUACAAGUAUCAACGUAGAAAAAUAGCGAGCAUAACAAAUUCAUAAUAGUGAACAAUAACACUUCAAGUAGCAAAUCUCAAAAUGAACGAGUGUAAAGUGGUUUGUUUUUCAAAAGAAACAAUAAUCCAAUAAGUAAUAAUCAUUUCAAAGUAUAAGGAUACGGAUGGCUCUCAAGAGCCAAGUUCCCGUUGCUUUACCAGAGCUUAAUCAAGUAUUAGUUGACACUCCGUCAACUUUCAAGUAAAGUAACCAAUCCUGUAGUACUUUGCUUAACUCCAAUUUGUCCACCAUUCAACCUCCUUACCGGGCCCGAACACCAACUAAACACUGAUGGUAAUACUCGAGUAUACCGAUUAGUCGAGGAAAUAACACUCCACUCAACAACACUAGAUACCCAUGGUUCGUUAUCUAAUCGAUCAAACCCUUGUCGGCUCGACUCGACUAGCUAGCCAGUGGGGUUUGGGUUCUCAAGAAAUCGAUGAGAUAAUAUCUUCAAUCGAUUGAAUCCAAAUAAAAGUACAGAGACAGGAAUGAGAGGCACCUCCCACUCACAUUGAGUGUGGUACAUGCUGCCGCUCAGCACUUACAAGUUAAAUAUAAGUAUAUCAAGUCAAUUGCAACAAUAAACAAGUAUAUAUCAUAUUAGGGCAAGUGCGAUAAAGUACACUCUUACCCGAUCAAACAAAUUAUAUAUCAUUAAAUCACAUUUGUCAAGUAUUGAAAAUAAGUGUCUAGUUCAAUCAGGUAUUUGGAAGCACUCACCAAAGAUGUAGUGUCUUUACGGAUCACAUUCAAGUAUUACUCCUUGUUUGGAGUCCAAGUCUGCGAUAAAACAUUGUUUAAGAGUUUUGAAAUUCAACUAAGGUUCGAAACUUAAACGUUUCAUUUAACGAGAAUCACAUAAUUGAAACUUAUUUGGAGAAUAUUUGUAAAUUCAUGCUCGCUCUUAAAACAGUGAAACUUUAAAGUGAUUAACCUUUGAAAUUUCCGUUUGAGUUGAAUUGACGAGAAAAAUAUAUUUCUAUUAGUCAUUACUUUCAUUUUCCAAGGGUACAAGUUUCAGCCAAAUGCUAACUUAUAGACCUCUAUGAAACAAGACUUGAAUACCCUAGACGAUUCAAGUUCGAUUCAUCCUCAAACCCUUACUCAAGUCGUGAGUAUAUCUACCUAACCUUCGAGUGUAAAUUUGGGCAGCACGCCCUUUGUGUUUACCUAUUUUUCAGCCAUUUAUGGCUUCAUUAUUUUUCUUAAUUCAGCCCCAAAACACAUAAAGAUAAUCAAUCUCAUCACAAUACCGUUCAAUAGGCUCAAAAUCAUCCAAGUACAACACAAGUAUAAUAAUCCAAUCGGAAAUCAAGUUUUGAAGGCAAAAGGCUAAAUGGCAGAUUCGAUGUCCCUUAGCGUUUCGGUCACAACCGAUGCUACAGUUAUCGGAUUGGGGUGAAUUUUAUACUGUUUCGAAGUUAAGAUAAAGGACUACAACUUUCAUGAAGACCACUCAAUCCAGUUCACAAUUGAUCUAGGUCAAAAGUACAGAUUACAGAACCAGAAGGUCCUUGUCAGUACGGUUGUUAGUACUGAAUUCAAAUAAUAAUAACUCAAGCUACACAAUGCCGUUUGAGGCAUUUUUAGAUGCGUUGGAAAGAGCAAACAUAGAGUUAAAAGUUUUGUGUUUUGGCCAAAGGUUGAUUUGAUAUGGAUCAAGGUGAAAAAUGAAGCCAAAAGUGUGAGAUCACAAAACUGUCCGCAAAAUGAAGCUUUUGGCAGUCAGGGGUAUUCCGAUCAUUUCUCAUGUUACAGUGCUCCGAUUGAGCUAAAAUUUUACAGACAGCUAUAUAACAUCAUUUCCUACAACUUUCAUGUUUUAACCUAAGCCUAAUUCAGCCUCUAAUAUACACGAAUAAAGCUGAUCAGAACAGGGCAGUUUCACUCCUUAAAUCUGGAAUUUAGUGCAUUCAAGGUCUAACCUUCACAUUUCUAGCUUAAACCACUACUUCAACUUCCUAUACAAGAUUAUAGACAUCAUAUUCUAUCUAAACAAGAAGAAAUACCACUGAACAAUUCAAAAUCCUAACUCACAAAUCCACCAAAAUCAUCAAAACUACUUAGAUAACUAUCAUUAGCCAAGAAUUUAAGUUGCUAUACAAACUUAAACAAGCUUAAGGGAAAACAAAAUGGAAAAGCAGCCAUAAUACCUCAAAACCCCCAAAAUAAGUUGUGAUACAGGAACUUUCUUCCUCCUAAAAGCUCCACCAAGCUCACCUCCAAGCUUUCCCAAAAAUUGAUCGGAGUAGAAUCACGUUUCACGUUAAUUUUCUCAAGAAUCAAGCAAAGUUGUUAUGGUGGAAAUGGAGUUUUCUCUCCUCUCUUUUCCCUCUCCAAACUCACGGCCAAAUGAAGGAAAAAGUAUAGGAAUUUUGGUCCAAAACAAAGUUAAGAAGAUAGGAAAUUUGUUGGUCAAACUUGGUUGGCCAACACUCGUCAAGCCACCAUUGGUCUUCUUCUUUUUUUUUCUUUCUUCCUUUUAUUUUGGUCAAAAAUGGUGGCUGUUUUAUAGGAUAUUUUAGGGGUGAUUAGCUGAAAUAAAAUCAAGGUGAUUUAUGUAAUAAAAUAGUGUUCAAGUGGUGUACUCACUCGAUAACAAACGGUAUACUUCGGUUCACACCGUUUUUCCUUAAUUCGCGUAUAAUAGGGUUUUAACUUAUAAUUCACUAAUUUAUUAUUAUCACUUCUAAUCACACACUUAAUAUCAUCUAAAACUCACUCUUAAUCACCAAAUUGAGUACACACUCCACACCGAUUAAUCACACUACCAAAAGACGUAAAAAUCCUAGUUUACCUUAACGAUGAAAGUAAAGGGAAAACCCUUGGUUCUAUGAUUAAUUGUAACUAUUGAGAAAGUGAAUGAGUAGUAAAGCUAUUGUAAAAUAAUGGAUUCCAAAUAAAAGAAAAUUUUUAAGAAAAUAUGAGGGAUUUUACAAGUCACAAUUACACUACCAAAAUGCACAAAAAAAAAA